GUCAGUUAGGAUGUGGAUUUUCUUGCUCUCUCAAAGGUUCUUUUAUUUAAAUAUGUUCAUACAUUUUUCUCCUACCGCUCUCUUUCCUGAAAGAAUGAAGUUAGAGGAUUAGGUUGCUAAGUUUAGCUCUUGCUGACGCACUGGCCUCUCACUAGCAGUCUCCUCGUGUCUCAGUGUUUCUUUAAGCCUCGCUUUUUUGCUGGUAGACGCACACCAUCACAUCCUACAUAAUAUUUAGCUCUGAGGCGUUUCCAGAUGGGAAGUGCGUUUCUGUAUUUUCAUAGCCGUGUUCUCUACGUGAAUGGACUGGCGUGAAGCUGGGGGCUGACGGCUGGCAGGGCAGAACAACUUCCAGUAAAAGAAGGCACUGAGGUUUAAGUGCUACGUGGGAGCAGUUGCCGAUUUUUGCAAUGGGAGGCUGCAUAGAUUCAAGGACUUCCUUGAGUGCUCCAGGAGCUUGUCAUUCCAGAGACAGAGCAGCCCAGAAGUCCUGGGAUUUACACCUCUAGUAGAAACCCUCAACCAGAGAAGGAUGGAAGUCAAUGGGCAGAGUGCUCGGGAGACCUUUACCUGUUUUACCUGAUUACAUCCUCUGAGACAUGAAUGGAAAGUUUUGAAAAUG
rnacentral:lncRNA from 1 species